UACGGAGGGUGCAAGCGUUAAUCGGAAUUACUGGGCGUAAAGCGCACGCAGGUGGCUGAGUCAGUCGAUUGUGAAAGCCCUGGGCUUAACCUAGGAAUUGCAGUCGAUACUACUCGGCUAGAGUAUGGGAGAGGGCAGUGGAAUUCCCGGUGUAGCGGUGAAAUGCGUAGAUAUCGGGAGGAACAUCAGUGGCGAAGGCGGCUGCCUGGCCCAAUACUGACACUCAGGUGCGACAGCGUGGGGAGCAAACAGG
rnacentral:rRNA from 1 species